UUUAGAGUUUGAUNCCCNCUCAGGACGANCGCUGGCGGCGUGCCUAAUACAUGCAAGUCGAACGCUUUUUCUUUCACCGGAGCUUGCUCCACCGAAAGAAAAGGAGUGGCGAACGGGUGAGUAACACGUGGGUAACCUGCCCAUCAGAAGGGGAUAACACUUGGAAACAGGUGCUAAUACCGUAUAACAAUCGAAACCGCAUGGUUUCGGUUUGAAAGGCGCUUUUGCGUCACUGAUGGAUGGACCCGCGGUGCAUUAGCUAGUUGGUGAGGUAACGGCUCACCAAGGCAACGAUGCAUAGCCGACCUGAGAGGGUGAUCGGCCACAUUGGGACUGAGACACGGCCCAAACUCCUACGGGAGGCAGCAGUAGGGAAUCUUCGGCAAUGGACGCAAGUCUGACCGAGCAACGCCGCGUGAGUGAAGAAGGUUUUCGGAUCGUAAAACUCUGUUGUUAGAGAAGAACAAGGAUGAGAGUAGAAUGUUCAUCCCUUGACGGUAUCUAACCAGAAAGCCACGGCUAACUACGUGCCAGCAGCCGCGGUAAUACGUAGGUGGCAAGCGUUGUCCGGAUUUAUUGGGCGUAAAGCGAGCGCAGGCGGUUUCUUAAGUCUGAUGUGAAAGCCCCCGGCUCAACCGGGGAGGGUCAUUGGAAACUGGGAAACUUGAGUGCAGAAGAGGAGA
rnacentral:rRNA from 1 species